GGGCCCCGCACCUUGGAAGCCAACAAAAUUCAUAAAUUUUGAAUACCCAUUCAAUUACGAGUCCAACCAUACAAAAAUAAUCCAAUUCUAACCAAAUAUCGACCCUCAACUCCUCAAAUUUCACUCUCCAAUAACAUAAUCCAAAAUCCCCGAAUUCCACCUCAAACACACAUAAACUAGGUGUAAAAAUCAAUGAGUAAAAUAUUUAUCAAUACAAAUGAUGAAUCUUCACUUACCUCUUCAAUUAUAGUGAAAAUUACUCUAAAAUCGCCCUUAGCCGAACUCCACAACUCCAAAAAUGUCAAACCCUUUGAUUUAUAUUUCUGCCCAGCUAAAUCGCAUAUGCGGUCCAAAACAUCGCAGUUGCGACACUGCUUUUGCGAUCCAUCCUCUACAUAUGAGGUUUCCCAUUAAUAUGCACAUUCUCGCUUCUGCGCCCAAAUGACCGAACAUGCGGUCUCUCAGAUGCGGAACCUACCUCGUACUUGCGCCCUUCCUGCCUCCAGCCAAACCUCGCUCCUGCAGACCUUCUUGCGCAGAAGUGCAUCCGCUUCUACGAAAUUACCUCCGUACCUGCACUCCUAGGCUUCCUUCCCAAAUCUCUCACAUGCACACAAAUGGCCGCUUCUGCGGCUUCGCACAUGCGAUCAAAACCACGCAGGUGCGGUUACACCAGACCUGAAGCUUCAGCAUUUCCUUAAAAUCUCAAUCUGAUUUCAAUCCUAAUCACUCCCGAGACCCCAUCCAAACAUACCAACACGUCCUAAAAUAUGAUACGAACUUAGUCAAAGCCUCAAAUCAUACUAAACAACAUCAAAAUCAUGAAUCGCACCCAAAUUCAAGUCUAAUGAAACUAAUGAACUUUUCACUUCUAGAAACAAUGCCGAACUAUAUCAAAGCUACUCUAAAUGACCUCAAAUUUUGCACACUAGCCUCAAAUGACACAACGGGCCUAUUCCAACUCUCAGAACCGAAAUCCAAACCCGAUAUCGACAAAGUCAACUCUCG
rnacentral:lncRNA from 1 species